AGUGAACGCUGGCGGCGUGCUUAAUACAUGCAAGUCGAACGAUGAAGUCCUAGCUUGCUAGGAUGGAUUAGUGGCGCACGGGUGAGUAAUAUAUAGUUAAUCUACCUUGCACUGAGGAACAACAGUUGGAAACGAUUGCUAAUACCUCAUACUCCAACUUUACAUAAGUUAAGUUGGGAAAGUCUUUUCGGUGCAAGAUGAGACUAUAUCGUAUCAGCUAGUUGGUAAGGUAAUGGCUUACCAAGGCUAUGACGCGUAACUGGUCUGAGAGGAUGAUCAGUCACAUUGGAACUGAGACACGGUCCAAACUCCUACGGGAGGCAGCAGUAAGGAAUAUUGUGCAAUGGGGGAAACCCUGACGCAGCAACGCCGCGUGGAGGAUGACACUUUUCGGAGCGUAAACUCCUUUUGUUAGGGAAGAAUAAUGACGGUACCUAACGAAUAAGCACCGGCUAACUCCGUG
rnacentral:rRNA from 1 species